rnacentral:rRNA from 1 species
UACGAAGGGGGCUAGCGUUGCUCGGAAUUACUGGGCGUAAAGCGCACGUAGGCGGCUCUUUAAGUCGGGGGUGAAAUCCUGGAGCUCAACUCCAGAACUGCCUUCGAUACUGAAGAGCUCGAGUCCGGGAGAGGUGAGUGGAACUGCGAGUGUAGAGGUGAAAUUCGUAGAUAUUCGCAAGAACACCAGUGGCGAAGGCGGCGAUCUGGGUCGAUACUGACGCUGAGGUGCGAAAGCGUGGGGAGCAAACAGG